CUUGGCCCCCGUGACAGCUGGGCUCUUAUUACCAGGGGCACAACUUGUGCUUCUGCUCAUGGGCAUGGCUACUUACCAACCUGAGGGUGCCAGCUGAGAGCAUGGAAAGGGUUUGGGAAGUUGGUGUUCUGGUGACCAAGCUUCCCCCGACAGCAGUGGCAUGAGCUCAGCUCCACUAAAGGAUACAGAGCACCAGUGGGCAACAGCCGAUGGUCAAACAUGUUGAACAUUUAAAGAGAACACUGCAGUUCUGCCAAUGACUUUAUACCUUCAGGAAGGGAAUUAGAUUUUCAUGAUGAAAAGAAGGGAAGAUACAUAUUGCUGGGAAAACCUCCAAAGGUCUGGAUUGAAGAGAAGAGAUGUAAUGCCCAUACAUGGGGGUAAAAAAGCAUGAGGGACUGAUUGGGAAUCAAGCAUUCAGCCUACAGCCAUUAAAGGGAAACAGUUGGUUUGUCUUUUUCUUAAAGCCAUCAAGUUUCAGCUACUAUUUUUCAUGCAGUCACCCCUCCUCCAAGGUGUGUUACAUGUGGCUGUAACAUGUUUGUAGCCAGAAUUUUCUCUGGAACCAGCACACACAGAGCAAGAUGACUUUUUGGUGGUUCUGCAGUGGGAUACAGCUGCAGAGUGCAUCCAGCCAGGAUGAACUGAUGCAGAUGCUUUCUUGGGAGGAGGAGGAGGAAGAGAACACUGAGAAGUGUCUGGUUGUGAAGAGGUCAAGAGGAGGAAGAUCUUCCAUUGUGAGGUGUAGCGGGGACAGGGCAGUUUGGGAGCAGGAGCACCCAAGGGGAGCUGGCAGCAAGACCAUCUUACAGCAAGGAGACGUUUCCUGUGGUGCUCUGCUGGCUUCAUGAGAUUAAUGACCUCAGCACUUCACAGAUAAGUCUUUCUGUGUGAAUGUGAUCUUCUCCUGUGUGUACAAGGGCACGCAGCCACUAAAAAAACACAUGCAUGAGAAAGAAUGGAUGAUAAAGCUAGCAGUGAAACUGAGGUGCUGGAGCAUUCUCAUUAGAGAUGCCAUUGUUUUGUGUAAAGUGUAGAUUUCAAUAUAUUCAGUAAUGGUGAUUAAAAUGAUGAGUUUCCCUACAUGGUAAGCCUUGCCACUCUGAUCAAAUCCACCUUGUGAAAUUCUGUAUGCAUGAGAUCCCAAGAUAUAGUUUUGGCAAUCUCAGCUUUAACAUCUGGGUUCAGCUGUGGCAGUGCACUGCUCACAUGCUUAUUCUAACAACCAAGGGGGAAAAUGUCCAGAUCUUUGCAUAUUAGUUCCUAAAAGGGUACUGAUAUGGCUUAAAAUGUCAGGCCACUCUGGCAUUUUUCUGAACCUUUGAUCACUUUAGGAAUAUUUUGGUGAUGCCAUUCAAAUGUUUCUCAAAAAACUGUUGCCACAAAGAAAAAUUUAUUGCCGUGUUACUUAGAACCAUGGCAUAACCAAACCACCUGGAUGGUCUUGGGGAACUUCCUUCAGAGGAUGGAAGGUAGAGGAAGGGAUUCUCUCUCAUCCCCCAUCAGCCUUUUUUACCUUCAUCUGAGCACUUUGGGAGCAGUUCCUGUCCAUGGAAAACUUCAGCCUUUCCUUGAAGCUGCAGAGUGCCAUGUCAGGCUUCGGAGGCACCUGCUCCCACUUCUGGGAGGAAGACCCUGUGCAGUGUGUCCCGUGCUCCCUUCAGGGGACACCCAGACACACACUUGCUGUGUCCCAGGGUGGUUUGAGGAGUGCAGAGCACGUUUUCUGUAGGAAAACAGAAAGAAACACAUCCCUCUUCCAGCUUUGUAUGAGUCAAAAGUUCUGAAAGGUCUGCACUGCCAGGACAGGAUCCAUAGGCAUCAGCAUGACAAGAGUGACACUCAAUACAUGUUAGAGAUUGAUGUACAACACCUCUCAUCUCUACAGAGUAUGGUACAGAGGAAAGGAGGACCACAAAUGGCAUGUUUUGAGGUAAAAAACAGCUGCCUCCAUUCAUGGAGGGGUCAAAAUCAUCUUCAACAUUAAUGACUUUUUAAUUUAUGUUUUCCAGUGCUAGUGAAGCCUAACUAAUAUAUGAACAGUGUUUUAAAACCAAAUUCUUGUUCCUGUCAGGAAGCCCCAAUUCAAGAUGCACUGAUCCAUUCCUUCCCAUAGUGAGAUUAGGAAUUUGUUGAAACGAGGGGUGUGCACAAAACACACCACCACAGUCCAGUGUGUCCUGCUAUAGCAGCACAGGUAGGAGCCUUGAGAAAAGUAUGUCAUGUUCUUAUCCUGCAGCUAGUGCGUUCUGUAGCAUCUCCUCUAUUCAAACCAGCUCCUAACUUAUUUACACAAAAGGUGGAGUCCCCAUCUUUAGUUGGACAGGCUUCUUUCUCGCCCUUCCAUAUCUACCAGCCUGCAUUUUCUAUCUGUGAUAAUUGAACCAUUCCCAUAGUAAAUGACUGUGUGCUUGGAGAGAGGCCCAGGUACCAAAGUGUGGGAGUGCUGCGUGACUGCAGGGAAGUGAGGAACUGCAGCAAGAGCUCUGUGGGUUUAACCAGCUUCCUGGGGAACAUGCAGUCACUGACUCUUCCCAGCGCACAGCACGGAA